UCAGAAAGUGUUGAUAGACCAAAAUUGAAUUCCUUUUCCAUGGAUCCCAGUCCAUACCUAAGAAUCCGACCCAAACUUUCUUCUUCAACAAAAAACAAACCGUGUCCAGAAGCAACGACAACGUGCCUGAGCAACACCACCGAUGUCUGGACGCGCCUCAUGCGAGGGUGAGUUCACAAGGGCAGCAACAAUAUCUCCAAACGAUGCCUUUUCCGUCAAAAUACACCAAAAAGAAGAUGUGUUUCUCUUUUCCGUGUUGACGUCUUCCUCACCAGUACACUUAUAUAGUAGAUCAGUUUGCUUUUCAAUCCUUCCAGCUAUGUCUGGUUGUCCUUGCUCGCUUGGAGAUAAAGCCACAUAGCACUCAUGGAUGAUCGAUCGAUCCAAGCUCUCGACGCUGCCCCUGUUGUCUGAAUUUUGUGCGGGUUUGGUUUUAAUUCUCGUACAAUCUAGCUGUUCCUUCAUCCUUGGAAAAUUUGAAUUGAGAAUUGAUUCUAGGGUUUCAAUUCUGCCCUUGUUCUCACCCAAAAUAUACCUUUUCCCCCCAAAAGGUAAAACCUAAGAUUCCCACUAUAUAUACGUCUUUUCUUUUCAUCUAAAGGGUGGGACUUUUUUAGUCGAAAAUUUUAGAGAAAUAUUAAUAGAUACUUCAAGCAAAGACUAAGCAAGUAAAAUAUAGUGAGACGUUCAAAGCGGAAAACUUAGUUUUGGUCGGAGUAUCACACUUUUUAUUUUGUUUUGAAUCUGUUUCUCUCAACUUCCUCCGUGUCUGAGGUUUUGCACAGAAUUCUGGUUGAUCGUAUGUGUUCGAGUUUCCAUUUGUUUGUAAAAGUUGUUGUUCAUCCUAGCUCAUUACUGUCUCCAAUUCGCUGCCCGGAAAGAGAUUGGGUCACAAAAUCCCAAUAGCGUUAUCUCUUGAGUCAGUCGGUCAGUCGAAACAAGGAACAGGUCUCCAAAAGUCGAUGCAUAGGUUCAUUUAGUUAAACAUGUACUUCAGUUGAAUUUAAUGUUGACGCACAAUUGUUUGUUGUGAAAUGCACGUGAUCGGUGGUGGAAUCCUAUUCGGACUCAAAUACUUCUUCAUAGGCAUCUAGAUUUGGCCACAGAAGCCUAUUAAUAAUGUCUCUUGCGUCAGCCGAUUAAUGGAAACGAGAAACAGAUCCCCAAGAGUUGAUGCAUAGAAGAAUCAGAUGAGAAUUGGAAAUCUUAUCAAAUUUGUAUUUUUGUUAUUUUGGGGUCUAAGCCCUUGUCUUUUGCUUUUAUCAUUACCAUGUUAAAAUUUUAGGAAAAGUGGAAGAUGGUCCUAAGGCCCAAAGAGAUAAAUUUCAAAAUUUUAACUUGGAA